rnacentral:rRNA from 1 species
UAGGGAAUCUUCGGCAAUGGACGAAAGUCUGACCGAGCAACGCCGCGUGAGUGAAGAAGGUUUUCGGAUCGUAAAACUCUGUUGUUAGAGAAGAACAAGGACGUUAGUAACUGAACGUCCCCUGACGGUAUCUAACCAGAAAGCCACGGCUAACUACGUGCCAGCAGCCGCGGUAAUACGUAGGUGGCAAGCGUUGUCCGGAUUUAUUGGGCGUAAAGCGAGCGCAGGCGGUUUCUUAAGUCGGGUGUGAAAGCCCCCGGCUCAACCGGGGAGGGUCAUUGAAAGCUGGGAGACUUGAGUGCAGAAGAGGGGAGUGGAAUUCCAUGUGUAGCGGUGAAAUGCGUAGAUAUAUAGAGGAACACCAGUGGCGAAGGCGGCUCUCUGGUCUGUAACUGACGCUGAGGCUCGAAAGCGGGGGGAGCAAACAGG